rnacentral:rRNA from 1 species
AUUGAACGCUGGCGGCAGGCCUAACACAUGCAAGUCGAGCGGAUGAAGGGAGCUUGCUCCUGGAUUCAGCGGCGGACGGGUGAGUAAUGCCUAGGAAUCUGCCUGGUAGUGGGGGAUAACGUCCGGAAACGGGCGCUAAUACCGCAUACGUCCUGAUGUAGAAAGUGGGGGAUCUUCGGACCUCACGCUAUCAGAUGAGCCUAGGUCGGAUUAGCUAGUUGGUGGGGUAAAGGCCUACCAAGGCGACGAUCCGUAACUGGUCUGAGAGGAUGAUCAGUCACACUGGAACUGAGACACGGUCCAGACUCCUACGGGAGGCAGCAGUGGGGAAUAUUGGACAAUGGGCGAAAGCCUGAUCCAGCCAUGCCGCGUGUGUGAAGAAGGUCUUCGGAUUGUAAAGCACUUUAAGUUGGGAGGAAGGGCAGUAAGUUAAUACCCUGCUGUUUUGACGUUACCAACAGAAUAAGCACCGGCUAACUUCGUG